UAAGGAAUAUUGGUCAAUGGACGCAAGUCUGAACCAGCCAUGCCGCGUGAAGGAUGAAGGUCCUCUGGAUUGUAAACUUCUUUUAUCUGGGACGAAAACGGGAUUUUUAUCUCAAUUGACGGUACCAGAGGAAUAAGCACCGGCUAACUCCGUGCCAGCAGCCGCGGUAAUACGGAGGGUGCGAGCGUUAUCCGGAUUUACUGGGUUUAAAGGGUGCGUAGGUGGGCUUAUAAGUCAGUGGUGAAAUCUCCGAGCUUAACUUGGAAACUGCCGUUGAUACUAUAGGUCUUGAAUUAUCUGGAGGUAAGCGGAAUAUGUCAUGUAGCGGUGAAAUGCUUAGAUAUGACAUAGAACACCAAUUGCGAAGGCAGCUUACUACAUAUAAAUUGACGCUGAGGCACGAAAGCGUGGG
rnacentral:rRNA from 1 species